rnacentral:sRNA from 1 species
AUAUUUGACUUCAAAACACUAACCAAGCUUCUUCUAGCUUCUCAAAGCUUUCAUGGUGUAGCCAAAGUCCGUAUGAGUCUUUGGCUUUGUAUCUUCUAACAAGGAAACACUACUAAGGCUUUUAAGAUCGGGUUGCGAUUUAAGUUUUUAUACUCAAUCAUACACAUGACAUCAAGUCAUAUUCGACUCCAAAACACUAACCAACCUUCUUCUUGCUUCUCAAAGCUUUCAUGGUGUAGCCAAAGUCCGUAUGAGUCUUUGGCUUUGUGUCUUCUAACAAGGAUACAAUUCUUACCGCUUUAAGAUA